AGGGGGGCUUAGAUACCCCUUCCACCACCUCGGCCGAGAAGGAGGGCAGUUUUACCGCGAGUCCUUGUUCAACCGUACCCCAGUGGCGGCUUUUGGAGACUCCCAGGUGCCUGCCCGUCUUCCCGAAGAGGCCCAGCGUCCAGGGCCGUAUCACAUCAAAGACAUUUCACAGGGAAAACAAAACUAGCGGUGUUUGCACUGGGAUAUAGCCCUUGCCGAUCUAGGCGUACCCUCGCACGCACCUCUAGACACAGUCACUAAUUGUAAAAUGUGAGGAACAGCGAAAGCUUAAUCACCUACCUUGUCUUUUCUAGAUGCCUCCGUGUCACAAUGUCUGCAACGGGGACCGGGCGGUUCUGAUUCCCUCUCAAGCGACGUUCCACCGACGACGUCCACAGCAAAACGUCCAAUUUGGACGUGACUGGUUUUCGCCAAGGUACAUAAAUGACGAGAAGAAGACACGCUUCGCAGAUAAGCGACGGUUCUUUGUCGUCGUAGCCAUUAAUGCCCACGUCAGAUGUUCUUCGUAGUAACAAUGAUAGACUGCUUGUGCUAGUCCAGUGGUAAAACCUCCCCAUGAAGUUGUACACAGACGUACAUGCCAUGACGAGGACUGCAUGAUGAUGUCUUGUCGUCCUGAAUAAGACCCAUCUCGUGUGAAGUCCUGUAGAAGCAACAGAGAGAGAGAGCGUUAAGAGAGACCGUUCUAUCCAGAGUGAAAAACCAAAAAUGUGUGAUAAGGCCAGCGAGAGGAAAUGGCUUAUGUAUAAAUAAAAGGUUUGUAGUUCAAUGGAUAGGAGUGACCUUAAGAAGGUUCCUUGCUUCAGUAUAAACGGGUGGGAUUCGGGUAAAAACAUGACAUUUAGCCCUCGCUGGUCUGAUAUUUCCGAAUAUGAGAACAUCGAUUUUACAAAUGCUCCCUGACAGAACUUUGCGAGUAGCUCGCCGCGACCCGCCGCCGUUGGAGAGGGAGAUCAGAAUGUCAGGGGUCGCUCUGAAAUAAUCUAAUCAAAUUGCGGAUGCGACGACCACUUUCUGAUCUUCCUACGAGAAAAAAAAAUAGCUUCUGUAGUUCUCCAAAAUUCAGCAAUGGUUUUGACAGUUUUUUGUAUAUGCUACAAAGAAAACUGCAAGUCUUGUGCAAUAACACUGCCAGAGAACGCCU